UACAGAGGGUGCGAGCGUUAAUCGGAAUUACUGGGCGUAAAGCGCACGUAGUCGGCUUUGCAAGUCGGGUGUGAAAUCCCCGGGCUCAACCUGGGAACUGCAUCCGAGACUGCAUUGCUAGAGUAUGGGAGAGGGAAGCGGAAUUUCUGGUGUAGCGGUGAAAUGCGUAGAUAUCAGGAGGAACACCGGUGGCGAAGGCGGCUUUCUGGACAGAUACCGACGCUGAGGCACGAAAGCUAGGGGAGCAAACAGG
rnacentral:rRNA from 1 species